rnacentral:rRNA from 1 species
AUUGAACGCUGGCGGCAGGCCUAACACAUGCAAGUCGAGCGGAUGAAGGGUGCUUGCUCCUGGAUUCAGCGGCGGACGGGUGAGUAAUGCCUAGGAAUCUGCCUGGUAGUGGGGGAUAACGUCCGGAAACGGGCGCUAAUACCGCAUACGUCCUGUGGGGGAAAGUGGGUGAUCUUCGGACCUCACGCUAUCAGAUGAGCCUAGGUCGGAUUAGCUAGUUGGUGGGGUAAAGGCCUACCAAGGCGAAGAUCCGUAACUGGUCUGAGAGGAUGAUCAGUCACACUGGAACUGAGACACGGUCCAGACUCCUACGGGAGGCAGCAGUGGGGAAUAUUGGACAAUGGGCGAAAGCCUGAUCCAGCCAUGCCGCGUGUGUGAAGAAGGUCUUAGGAUUGUAAAGCACUUUAAGUUGGGAGGAAGGGCAGUAAGUUAAUACCUUGCUGUUUUGACGGUACCAACAGAAGAAGCACCGGCUAACUUCGUG